GCCAGGCCUGGGGGCACACACCUGUAAUCUCAUCUUCUGGAGAGGCUCAGGCAGGAGGAUCUCAAGUUGGAGCCUGCCUGAGCAACUUAGAGAUACCCUGUCUGCA
rnacentral:sRNA from 1 species